rnacentral:rRNA from 1 species
UUUUUUCCUCCGCCCAAAAACUAGCAUAUCAAUAAGCGGAGGAAAAGAAACCAACAGGGAUUGCCCUAGUAACGGCGAGUGAAGCGGCAACAGCUCAAAUUUGAAAUCUGGCUCUUUUAGAGUCCGAGUUGUAAUUUGCAGAGGGCGCUUUGGCUUUGGCAGCGGUCCAAGUUCCUUGGAACAGGACGUCACAGAGGGUGAGAAUCCCGUACGUGGUCGCUGGCUAUUGCCGUGUAAAGCCCCUUCGACGAGUCGAGUUGUUUGGGAAUGCAGCUCUAAAUGGGAGGUACAUUUCUUCUAAAGCUAAAUAUUGGCCAGAGACCGAUAGCGCACAAGUAGAGUGAUCGAAAGAUGAAAAGCACUUUGGAAAGAGAGUCAAACAGCACGUGAAAUUGUUGAAAGGGAAGCGCUUGCAGCCAGACUUGCUUACAGUUGCUCAUCCGGGUUUCUACCCGGUGCACUCUUCUGUAGGCAGGCCAGCAUCAGUUUGGGCGGUAGGAUAAAGGUCUCUGUCACGUACCUCCUUUCGGGGAGGCCUUAUAGGGGAGACGACAUACUACCAGCCUGGACUGAGGUCCGCGCAUCUGCUAGGAUGCUGGCGUAAUGGCUGUAAGCGGCCCGUCUUGAAACACGGACCAAGGAGUCUAACAUCUAUGCGAGUGUUUGGGUGUCAAGCCCGAGCGCGUAAUGAAAGUGAACGGAGGUGGGAACCCGCAAGGGUGCACCAUCGACCGAUCCUGAUGUCUUCGGAAGGAUUUGAGUAAGAGCAUGGCUGUUGGGACCCGAAAGAUGGUGAACUAUGCUUGAAUAGGGUGAAGCCAGAGGAAACUCUGGUGGAGGCUCGCAGCGGUUCUGACGUGCAAAUCGAUCGUCAAAUUUGGGCAUAGGGGCGAAAGACUAAUCGAACUAUCUAGUAGCUGGGUCCUGCGGCCCCUCUCUCCCCUGCUAGAGAAAAA